UAACAGUUUAACUUGGCCUCCUCUGGGGAUCUGCUGAGUGUACCAAGACUGUCAGGACAGGAGGACGUUAGCUCCAUGUGAACUCUAGGCCCAAGGAGGUCUCCAAUCCAUGCACUACCCAGACCCAGAUCUGCUUAGCUUCAGCAAGGUGGUUGCAUCAUAGUUCUGGAUCAAGCAAUACUGAAGGACUUGUCUGAUCUAUAUGUUUUGUCCUUGAACUUUAAGCUCUCCCUCCCUCUUUCUUUUUUUCUGUCCUAACUUAUGAUCUGUACACAGUCUCUGUUCCAACUUUUAGCACCUUAACAUGUAAUUGAAUAAAGUUAUGUCCUGCUUGA